rnacentral:rRNA from 1 species
CCUACGGGUGGCAGCAGUGGGGAAUAUUGGACAAUGGGCGAAAGCCUGAUCCAGCCAUGCCGCGUGUGUGAAGAAGGCCUUCGGGUUGUAAAGCACUUUCAGUGGGGAAGAAAGCCUUGGGGCUAAUACCCUCGAGGAAGGACAUCACCCACAGAAGAAGCACCGGCUAACUCCGUGCCAGCAGCCGCGGUAAUACGGAGGGUGCGAGCGUUAAUCGGAAUUACUGGGCGUAAAGCGCGCGUAGGCGGUCUGAUAAGCCGGUUGUGAAAGCCCCGGGCUCAACCUGGGAACGGCAUCCGGAACUGUCAGGCUAGAGUGCAUGAGAGGAAGGUAGAAUUCCCGGUGUAGCGGUGAAAUGCGUAGAGAUCGGGAGGAAUACCAGUGGCGAAGGCGGCCUUCUGGACUGACACUGACGCUGAGGUGCGAAAGCGUGGGUAGCAAACAGGAUUAGAUACCCCGGUAGUC